rnacentral:rRNA from 1 species
UGCAGUCGAACGCGUUGGCCCAAUUGAUUGAUGGUGCUUGCACCUGAUUGAUUUUGGUCGCCAACGAGUGGCGGACGGGUGAGUAACACGUAGGUAACCUGCCCAGAAGCGGGGGACAACAUUUGGAAACAGAUGCUAAUACCGCAUAACAGCGUUGUUCGCAUGAACAACGCUUAAAAGAUGGCUUCUCGCUAUCACUUCUGGAUGGACCUGCGGUGCAUUAGCUUGUUGGUGGGGUAACGGCCUACCAAGGCGAUGAUGCAUAGCCGAGUUGAGAGACUGAUCGGCCACAAUGGGACUGAGACACGGCCCAUACUCCUACGGGAGGCAGCAGUAGGGAAUCUUCCACAAUGGGCGCAAGCCUGAUGGAGCAACACCGCGUGAGUGAAGAAGGGUUUCGGCUCGUAAAGCUCUGUUGUUAAAGAAGAACACGUAUGAGAGUAACUGUUCAUACGUUGACGGUAUUUAACCAGAAAGUCACGGCUAACUACGUGCCAGCAGCCGCGGUAAUACGUAGGUGGCAAGCGUUAUCCGGAUUUAUUGGGCGUAAAGAGAGUGCAGGCGGUUUUCUAAGUCUGAUGUGAAAGCCUUCGGCUUAACCGGAGAAGUGCAUCGGAAACUGGAUAACUUGAGUGCAGAAGAGGGUAGUGGAACUCCAUGUGUAGCGGUGGAAUGCGUAGAUAUAUGGAAGAACACCAGUGGCGAAGGCGGCUACCUGGUCUGCAACUGACGCUGAGACUCGAAAGCAUGGGUAGCGAACAGGAUUAGAUACCCUGGUAGUCCAUGCCGUAAACGAUGAGUGCUAGGUGUUGGAGGGUUUCCGCCCUUCAGUGCCGGAGCUAACGCAUUAAGCACUCCGCCUGGGGAGUACGACCGCAAGGUUGAAACUCAAAGGAAUUGACGGGGGCCCGCACAAGCGGUGGAGCAUGUGGUUUAAUUCGAAGCUACGCGAAGAACCUUACCAGGUCUUGACAUCUUGCGCCAACCCUAGAGAUAGGGCGUUUCCUUCGGGAACGCAAUGACAGGUGGUGCAUGGUCGUCGUCAGCUCGUGUCGUGAGAUGUUGGGUUAAGUCCCGCAACGAGCGCAACCCUUGUUACUAGUUGCCAGCAUUAAGUUGGGCACUCUAGUGAGACUGCCGGUGACAAACCGGAGGAAGGUGGGGACGACGUCAGAUCAUCAUGCCCCUUAUGACCUGGGCUACACACGUGCUACAAUGGACGGUACAACGAGUCGCGAACUCGCGAGGGCAAGCAAAUCUCUUAAAACCGUUCUCAGUUCGGACUGCAGGCUGCAACUCGCCUGCACGAAGUCGGAAUCGCUAGUAAUCGCGGAUCAGCAUGCCGCGGUGAAUACGUUCCCGGGCCUUGUACACACCGCCCGUCACACCAUGAGAGUUUGUAACACCCAAAGUCGGUGGGGUAACCUUUAGGAGCCAGCCGCCUAA